rnacentral:rRNA from 1 species
GAUCAUGGCUCAGGAUGAACGCUAGCGGCAGGCUUAACACAUGCAAGUCGAGGGGCAGCAUAAUGGAUAGCAAUAUCUAUGGUGGCGACCGGCGCACGGGUGCGUAACGCGUAUGCAACCUACCUUUAACAGGGGGAUAACACUGAGAAAUUGGUACUAAUACCCCAUAAUACCAUAGAAGGCAUCUUUUAUUGGUUGAAAAUUACCGAUGGUUAGAGAUGGGCGAUGCGUUGUAUUAG